AAAGGAAUUGACGGGGGCCCGCACAAGCAGCGGAGCAUGUUGUUUAAUUCGAAGCAACGCGAAGAACCUUACCAGGUCUUGACAUCGAGGUAAACUUGCAGAGAUGCGAGGUGGCUUCGGCCAACCGAAGACAGGUGGUGCAUGGUUGUCGUCAGCUCGUGUCGUGAGAUGUUGGGUUAAGUCCCGCAACGAGCGCAACCCUUAUGGUCAGUUACUAACACGUGAAGGUGAGGACUCUGACAAGACUGCCGGGGACAACUCGGAGGAAGGUGGGGACGACGUCAAAUCAUCAUGCCCCUUAUGACCUGGGCUACAAACGUGCUACAAUGGUGACAACAAAGAGGAGCGAGACCGUAAGGUGGAGCGGAUCUCAAAAAAGUCAUCCCAGUUCGGAUUGUGGGCUGCAACCCGCCCACAUGAAGUUGGAGUUGCUAGUAAUCGCGGAUCAGCAUGCCGCGGUGAAUACGUUCCCGGGCCUUGUACACACCGCCCGU
rnacentral:rRNA from 1 species